rnacentral:tRNA from 1 species
GCUCCCGUGGCGGAACUUGGUAUACGCGUGGCGUUUAGAACGCUAUUCUCUAUUGAGAUUGCAGGUUCAAAUCCUGCCGGGAGCA